CAAUUUUAAGACAGAAUUCCUUAAAAGAUAAACCACAUCAAGACAAGGUGGAAGAGAAGAUACAGAAGGCUUGCCCUGGACACCUGGCAGGACUGAGGAUGGAUGCUGAAGCUGGUGAGCAGUGUCGUGCCAGAGGCUGAGGCGUAGUUGGUGUGGCAAAAAUGAGUCUGGAAGGGUGACCAAGGAAUGAUCAACAGAGAUCUCUCCUCCUGGGUGGUAUAGCCUCAUACAUACUUUCCUACCUCUAGUCAAGAUGGCUUUGGAAUUCUGUUGGGUUGUAUCUGGGUGCCGGGAUCAUUGCUCUAAUCUGUGGAUUGCUGGGAAUGGCUGGUGCUGGAAUCAGCUAACUUUUGUUUAGAAGAAAGAUGAGAUUGCCACCUUCUUUUAUGAAGCCAAUU